GGUCACUUAUUUUAUCUAUCGACCAUUUUGGUAUUGUUUUUCGUUUUCUCCCCCUGGAAUUUUUAUGAUUGUGAAUUUUAUCACUUUUAAUCAUUUGAUAAAAGUGUGGUCACUGUUCCGAUGCUUCUCGAUUUUCUCGAUUUAAACCAUUUGCAUAUAUUUCCAUUUCCAGUUCCUUCCACCGUUCCUCCAAACCACCGAUAUUCUCUAAGACACGAAUAAUCUUUGUCGGCUUCUCUAUCAUAGGAAAACUUUGUGGCCGAUAGCCUCUCUCGAAUGGCCUUCAGAAAUCUCCGUCGCUUACAACUUCUCAGGCACCGCUGUCGAUAACCUCUCACAGGACCCUGGAACCAGUCGGUCCCCUUUCUCACAGCCUUCACCGCCACCAGCUUCGUACCCUACAGCUACACCGUCUCACCUCAGGUUUGCAUUCUUGACCUUGACUUAUAAUUUGAGGUAAAACCACUUUCAUUAGCUAAUGUUUUCGAUUUUCUUCAUGUUUUCGUUGAUUGGAGAUUGGAAAUGAGCAAAAACCCAUAUUGAUGUUCCUGGUCCUUGGAAAUGAACGGAACCAUAAAUCGAUCGGAAAGAUUAACCUGUCGAUUUUAAUUUAAAUGGUCACUGCAGUUCCCCUUUGUUUAGAUCUAUAAUUAAAGUUGGGUUAUUUCUCAUUUGUAGUUGGUGUGUAAGCAAGCAGGGGCAUUUGGUUCAAAUUAUUAUCAAAAGGAACUUAAUCUACUGGUUUGGGUUUUGUUUACGGAGCAUGGGAGAUAAAAAAGAGUGGUGACUUUUAAAUUUUUUUUGAUGAAUGGAAUAAACUUUUAUUUAAAGGGUAUUUUGGGAAUUCGUGUGAUCUUACAUUCAUUCCAUGGAUAUUUUGGUUUUUUUUUUCAGGAAUUUUUCAUGCACUUCACUCUUUAUGAAUUUCAUAAAGAAACGAAGGUUAGAUUAUCUUUCAACCACUGUCACCGUUUUUUGAAACGGGCGAUUUGGUCAAAGAUUUAUAAAAAAAUGUGUCAUUUUUCUAUUCUUUUUUUUUGCUCUAGGUUUAAUUUGUAAUGAAUUUUUUUUGUGCAAGGGAAUGUACCAUUGUGUGUUUCAAUUGAAAAGCUUUUGGUUUGAAGUUAUUUUUGACUUUUAGAUGGAGGAAGUGUAAACUGCAAAGAAACAUGAAACAAUUUAACAAACGUUUGGCUUCAUUUUCACCACGUCAAUUCAGUUUAUCGAAGAAAAUUGGUUCUUCUCUGCUAUGAAGUUUCACGAUCUCAAAUGUAACGCCCCAUUCUAAGAGUAGUUAUUUAUGGUUCCCCGAGAUCAAAGAGUAAGAGCGUUUCGGUUUUCUAUGGGCAAUGGGUUAUAUUCGAGAAGGUUUUGGGUCGGGAUGUGUUGCUAGAAGUGUAGGGCUUCUCUCCACCUUUUCGUGGAUAUAAAUUUUGUCGGAAAUGGACUUAAAAUAAAGGAGCUAUGACACUUUGAAGAUAUUGUCACUUAUGCCACUUGAUGGAAAAAGUUGACAAAGUAAGGCAAUGCAUGCAUGGGACACGCGUGGGUACGCCCAGCGUAGGCUGGGUUACACCCAACGUAAUCGAAUUAAUGAAAAGCGGGAUCCCUCGGCGUACGCCCAGCGUACUGGAAUUACGCCCAGCGUAUGUCUAUCAUCCAGAAACCCUAAUUUUAGGGCCAACCACUAUAUAAGGAACAUUAUGGUUCCAACCCCAGCCUCCAUAUCUGCCCUCUUACCCUCAGAAACCCUAAGUAGCCGUUCUUCUUCCAUUGUUGUGGAUAUUUGACCUUGGAGAGCUUGGUUUGGCAAAGGAAAGCCUAGAAGAAGAAAGAAGAAGUUGUCAAAGAAGGAGUGGGGUGGCUAGAGCUCGUAGAUCUGGAAAGGCAUCAUCUUCUGGAGCCCUUUUGAGUUGGGAUUCCCGGCGAGUCAGCAGUCAGAGAGUUGCAGGAUUCUGGCAGUUGCUAGGUGCUUUAGGAGAUCAUGGCAAGGCGAAGGCGUGAUCGUACCACUCCUCAUGUUUAUGCUUUAUGUAAUAUGGUUCUGGCGAAAUUACUCUGAUGUUUGUGUAAUAUGAUUCUAGGGUUUCCAUGUUAUGAGCUAUUCAGUAUUCCUCUAGGGGUGAGGAUUGAGUGCUUGUUGUGUAUGUUUGUGCUUAGGGCAUUGUGGUGAUACUUUAGACAAAUAUGGGUAGGUGUGGAAGAUAGUGUGGGCCCGUACUAUUGAAAAUACAUGACCAAUACGCGUGUCAAGGAAGUCACAACCCCUAGGUUGUUGAUUUGAGGUUAGUCCUCAGUGGUUAUGCGAGGGAUCUGAGAUUUUUAUGGUUCAUUCCAGUAUGGCGGAUGCGAGACGUUUGGAGGCAGGAUCCGAUUCGGGAUUGGGACCAGGAGAGGGUGGUCGGGAUGGACCCGUAUCACCCGAAGUCAUUGGCCAGAUGAGUACGGAUGAGUUGGACGCUAGGAUUCACGAUAUCCUACAUGAGGAGGUUGUUGCUAUGUUCCGAGCUGAGUUGUCGAAACUGUUUGGGUCGAUCAAGACCACCUUGGUUGAGUAUUUUGAUGAGCGAUAUGCAGUUCUUGCAGAGACAGCGGUCGCGGCUGCCGCAGCGGCAGGGGGAGCCAGUCGGAGUUUUCAGUAUCGGGAUUUCGACAAUACAAAGCCCCCUACUUUUGAUGGAGUUCAGGAUCCGAUCGUUCCUAUGAGGUGCUUGUCAGACAUGGAGGGUUGCUUCUUCACGUGUUCAUGCCCUACAGAUAAGAGGGUGAGGUAUGCUCUGAACCUUCUAAGGCUCGGGGCGAAGGAUUGGUGGAGGUUGACCACGGGAUCUUAUUCUGAUGUGCAGCGGGCUGCGGUUACGUGGGAUCAGUUCCGGGAAAUGUUCAGUACUCGUUAUAUUCCGCAGGUUGAGAGAGAGAGGUUGGCUCAGGAGUUCCUGGAACUGAAGCAGGGUUCAGAGUCAGUGACGGAGAUCACUAGGAUGUUCAUUAAGAGGGCGAUGUUUUGCCCGGAGUUUUCUUUGGAGCAGGCUCAAAUGUCUCGAUAUCUAAGUAUGCUCAAGAAGGACAUCAGACAGUUUGUAUCCACGCAGAGGUGUAGUACCUUGUUGGAGUUGCAGGAAGCCAUUAGGCGGCGCGAGUUAGAGAUUGAGCUCCAGUUAAGAGAGUAGAGGCAGGCCCCGGUGCAGUCGUAGCCUGCACCGAAGCGGAUGAGGCCCGCUGAUUAUCGACAAGGAGGUCAGAGGAGUCGCACUUGCGGGAAGUGCGGCAAGGUGCACGAGGGCGGUUUCCAUUCUUCUUCGGGGUGCCACAAGUGUGGCAAGGAGGGCCACAUAGCCAAGGAUUGCAGGCAGUCGACUCCAGCGGCAGGGGUCCGACUUUCUUAUCAUUGUGAUCAGGUGGGCCAUAUGAAGGCCCAGUGUCCUCUACUGGCUGCCAGGUUAGUGCAGGCCCCAGCGCCAACCACUUUGAGACUUACCGACGGAGGUCAGGGUCGAGCAGAGCCUCCGAAGGCUCCAGGAUGUGCUGAUCAACUUGUGACCGAGGAGAUCAGAUCUGAGCCAGAGGUGUCAGUCGGUGCUUUAGGAGAUCGUGGCAAGGCGAAGGCGUGAUCGUACUGCUCCUCAUGUUUAUGCUUUAUGUAAUAUGAUUCUCUUUAUGUAAUAUGAUUCUGGGGAAAGUACUCUGAUGUUUAAACUAUUUUGAAAACAAGAUGUAUGAUCGUAAUGAUUUUUGAAUAAAUUAAAAUGUUUUAAUUUGGUUGAAAUUUUUGCUCGUUGCAUCAACUAAUUAAAACAUCACUCAUUUCCUAAUUUCAAUAAGUUUAUUAUGUAUAUUAAUUCACUUCCAUUUUCAAUUUGUGAUUGUUGAUAUAUGCACUAUUCAUAUUGGAAUAAAAAGAGUAAAAGCUUAUAGCAGCAAAGCAUAAAUGGAAUUAGUGGUUGAAGUUCAGAUGCAUUUUAAUUCAUUUUUGGGU